CAAGGCUGAAACUCAAAGGAAUUGACGGGGGCCCGCACAAGCGGAGGAACAUGUGGUUUAAUUCGAUGAUACGCGAGGAACCUUACCCGGGCUUGAAAGUUACUGACUAAUCUGGAAACAGGUUAUCCCUUCGGGGCAGGAAACUAGGUGCUGCAUGGUUGUCGUCAGCUCGUGCCGUGAGGUGUCGGGUUAAGUCCCAUAACGAGCGCAACCCUUGCUGUUAGUUGCCAUCAGGUUAAGCUGGGCACUCUAAUGGGACUGCCGGUGCAAGCCGGAGGAAGGUGGGGAUGACGUCAAAUCAGCACGGCCCUUACGUCCGGGGCUACACACGUGUUACAAUGGUAGGUACAGAGGGCAGCUAGCCAGUGAUGGCAUGCGAAUCUCGAAAGCCUAUCUCAGUUCGGAUUGGAGGCUGAAACCCGCCUCCAUGAAGUUGGAUUCGCUAGUAAUCGCGCAUCAGCCAUGGCGCGGUGAAUACGUUCCCGGGCCUUGUACACACCGCCCGUCAAGCCAUGGGAG
rnacentral:rRNA from 1 species